GUCGGAUUAGCUAGUUGGUGGGGUAAUGGCCCACCAAGGCGACGAUCCGUAGCUGGUCUGAGAGGAUGAUCAGCCACACUGGGACUGAGACACGGCCCAGACUCCUACGGGAGGCAGCAGUGGGGAAUAUUGGACAAUGGGCGAAAGCCUGAUCCAGCCAUGCCGCGUGAGUGAUGAAGGCCCUAGGGUUGUAAAGCUCUUUCAGCGGGGAAGAUAAUGACGGUACCCGCAGAAGAAGCCCCGGCUAACUUCGUGCCAGCAGCCGCGGUAAUACGAAGGGGGCUAGCGUUGUUCGGAAUCACUGGGCGUAAAGCGCGUGUAGGCGGAUUGUUAAGUCGGGGGUGAAAUCCUGAGGCUCAACCUCAGAACUGCCUUCGAUACUGGCGAUCUUGAGUCCGGGAGAGGUGAGUGGAACUCCUAGUGUAGAGGUGAAAUUCGUAGAUAUUAGGAAGAACACCAGUGGCGAAGGCGGCUCACUGG
rnacentral:rRNA from 1 species